GGGGAGGGUUGAGAUCUCACAAACAUGUUUAACCCCGCCACAUUUUUGCGCCUGUCCCAAGUCAGGAGCCUCUGGCCUAGGCCAACCUUAAAAAUAUGUUUGUUUGCAGUUUUCCGACUGUACCUUCAGACUGAAGGGUCGGUAGGUAGGAAAAAUAUUUUAUUUUAUCAGCCAAAAUACAGUUUAAACAAGCAGUUACACUAAACCAAGUUUCUUGUGAAGAAAAAAAAAACAUUUUAAAACAACAAACACUGGACAUGCUGAAAACCAACAUCAAAUGAACAGGCAUUUUCAGAUAAAAAACUUUUUAACCAAAACUGAAACUUUAACAUAGUGUCAUUAUCCAAUUUAUGACAUAAAAUAUGGUAUAAUUAUUAAAUACUGGAACACUUAUAAACAAGGAAUGUCAUUAUGACUAGAACUGUUUUAAAGAAAUAUAUUCAGACAUGUAUGCUUCUUGACUAGAAUGUUUUCAUGAGUAGAGUAUUUUCAUCA
rnacentral:lncRNA from 1 species